AUUAAAAGGGUCAUUUAGCAAAGUGAGAGACUGUGAUAACAAAGCUAUGUAGGGAGGGACGGGAAAUAAACACACGCUUUGUUUUGACUACCACUAUGACUAUAUGGAGCAAUAAUGUCUUGUGCAUUAACCCCUUAAACACAGUAUGCUCAUGGCUGCAUGUUGACCUAUUUGCCUGUGGUAAGAGUCACUAGUAGUUAAGUGUGAUGUUUAGGCCCUGAUAAAUUAUGCUGGGAAUAAUUUUAGCAUAAUAAUUAUGUCCAAAGGCAUCAAUGUUGACUCUUGGUAAAGAUCAUUUCAUUAAGUUUUGCAUAACGAUGUCCUAAUUCUGAAGGUGCGAUCAAUUCAGCAAGACAAUGGGUUUACGUUACCUCUUAAUAAUAGACGUAAGAUAGGCUUCACUCUUUACCUAAUCAGCUCAAUAGUAUAAUUAUGUAGUACAUAUUCACUCGUGAACAUACACAAGAUGAAUAGCUGUGCUCAUACCGGUACCAUCAUUAUUUUGAACUUUACAGCAAUUGUACAAAAAAUGAUUUAAGUAAUGCAAUUGGCAUGGUGCAAGACUACAACAAAAAAAUGAAGUACAACCGUCUCUUUAGGUGAAACUGGUGCAUCAGAUGGAAGUGAUUUUUUUAUCAUAUCAUACUCAAAUUUUGUUGAGGUGAUCUUUCCAUGAUUAUUAUUGUCACUUGUGAUGAUAGAACUCCUAUAGAUCUCCCUGAGAGUUGGUAUGAUAUAUAGGUAUGUACCAAUUAGUUAUUAUGACUUGGUGCCAUCAAUAAUAAUUAUUGAUACAAACGUGAUAUCUGUUCAAUAUUUAGUAAAGCCAGUACCACAAAGAGACUGUAAUUCCCAUGUUCCACUGCAAUAGCUUUAGGAUCAUGUACAACAGUGUCAAAAGCUUUCUUAAAAUCUAGAAGUUCUCUAGCCUCAUUUCCAAGCUGCAAUACAUCAGUACACUAACGAGUGAAUGCAUGAGACAUUUUUCGCUUGUAACCCCUCUCGAUCCGGUUCCUUUCCAAUUAUCAGCCUCUGUGGUUACGAGAGAUCGAGUUCCUGGUCCACCUCCCCACAGAGGAGAGACAACCACAUCCAUAUACCCGCUACCAGCCAACCAGUAUUAAGCAUGACCCUUUAUCAUCUCCAUCAAAUGAUGGUUGUAAAUUGCAUGACCCUUUAUCAUCUAAUAAUUAUGUCCAUCAAAUGAUGGUUAUAGAUUGCAUGACCCUUUAUCCGACCUUGUCUCACUUGAUGUUUAUUGUGUAGUGGGUCUUUACCUGCUGUUUUUGUCGAUGAGGCCCCCACGUGGAGGGAGCUGGGAGAUCAUCUCAUGCUCAGUGGACUUCUACAUCUCCCAUGCAGAGCUAGGUGACCAACCAUGCAGUGAGAGAGAGGCAUGCAGUCUACAUCUAUACUGCAGAGCUGGGCACUAAGAUUGAUGGAUGGUCAUGUGAUAGUGCCUGUGUAACCUAUAUCCUCUAAACUCCUUUUUGAGAUGAAAGGAUUGUCUGAGACCAUACGUGUGGGACGACUGCAGACAAAGAAGGCUACAACCAGAAUCAGCCAUGAUUAAAUUUUUGAGUGCUCAGAUGACCAGCUCGGCAAUGUGUGAGAGUGUGUGUGUGGCAGUGGCGGAUCCAGAGGGGGUUCUUUGGGUUCAAUUGAACCCCCCUUUGAGAAAGAAAUGAGUGGGUGCCUCAAGCAACUAGUUAUCAAGUUGUUCCUUUCUUACAUGCACUCCUUAUUGUUAGUCUUUGUCUGUGCAGUUUCAGUAACUAUGAAGGCUAAAAACUCUCCAGCGUAGUGUAUGCAGAUUGCUUAUGAAAAGUGAUAACCUUAUUUUAGGGAAAAAAAUGAGAUAGCCAAAUCCAUGAUAUUUCUGCAGCACAAAUUGUUAGUUGAGAUCCUUAUCACACAAACACAAAAGGAUUGUCUGACGAAAGACGACUGGUGAGUGUAGUGUUGUAGUGUUUCCAUGACGAUGUGUGGAGCUUUAUGGUAUAGUGGGAUAUGGGAUAAAGGUAUGCUAGCGUAUAUGUUUGUGAUAAGUGUACGUGUUUUUGUAGGUAGAUAAUGUGGGCCAGUGUAUACACUAGAGAAUCCUCAAGUGAGCUUAUGAAUGUGUUGUGCGAUGUAAUAGAGGAAUUGCAGAUGGAGUUAUACGUAAUAGCAGUUUUAACCAAAUCUAAUCUUCAGUUUCAUUCUCCUGCUUAGAGAGCUGAGUGGUGUGAGUGGGUGUGGUGACCGAGUGUCCUCCCUCCUCCCCCUCUGUGCUGAGACACUACAACACAGACACUACCCUCAACACAUCAACCUCCUGGAGACACUGCUCAAACUGUUCCUCUGGUAUUGAUCUUGGACUGGCUGUAUUGGGGUGGUGCCUCGUAUCUAUGACGACACGGCCCACACAGAUCAGCAGAUGUACUCGUGUUGUUUACUGGCCCCCAAAAUGAGGAGGGGAGGAUGUGUGGACUCACACUAUCACAAGCCGGGAGAGCCGUGGGAGAAGAAUGAGCAGUGAUAAUGCCCUGGUGCAGUCUGCUGGAGUGGUCUGUCUCACUUCACUCUGAGCUGCUGGGGAGAAUAGAACAACAUAAUCCAACGUAUCUGGACAGGUUUGACAGAACAGUAACUGCAGCUUCUCUCAAUGUUGUGCAUGCAUGCAUGUAUACAUGUUUACAUUUUUAUACAAAGAUUAUACUAUUGUUAAAAUAAUGUUUAGCGAU